rnacentral:tRNA from 1 species
GGGGAUUUAGCUCAGUGGUAGAGCGCUUGCCUAGCUAGGGCAAGGCCCUGGGUUCGGUCCCCAGCUCCG